GGCAGCAGGCGCGUAAAUUACCCAAUCCUGACACAGGGAGGUAGUGACAAUAAAUAACAAUGCUGGGCUUUUUAAAGUCUGGCAAUUGGAAUGAGAACAAUUUAAAUCCCUUAUCGAGGAUCAAUUGGAGGGCAAGUCUGGUGCCAGCAGCCGCGGUAAUUCCAGCUCCAAUAGCGUAUACUAAAGUUGUUGCAGUUAAAAAGCUCGUAGUUGAAUUUCUGAUAUAAUAGGAUGGGUUUUAUUUUUCAUUAAAUAUUACUUCCAUUAUUUUUAUUAUAUCAUCAUCGAAAAGAUUAUAUUUUGGUCAUUCAUUUGUCUAGUAUAAGAUUUUCGUCAUUUACUGUGAGU
rnacentral:rRNA from 1 species